rnacentral:rRNA from 1 species
UACGUAGGGAGCAAGCGUUGUCCGGAAUCAUUGGGCGUAAAGCGCGCGUAGGUGGCCUCAUAAGUCCGCUGUGAAAGUCGGGGGCUCAACCCUCGAAAGCCGGUGGAUACUGUCGGGCUCGAGUACGGAAGAGGCGAGUGGAAUUCCUGGUGUAGCGGUGAAAUGCGCAGAUAUCAGGAGGAACACCAAUUGCGAAGGCAGCUCGCUGGGACGUUACUGACGCUGAGACGCGAAAGCGUGGGGAGCAAACAGG